rnacentral:rRNA from 1 species
GACGAACGCUGGCGGCGUGCUUAACACAUGCAAGUCGAACGGAAAGGCCCUGCUUUUGUGGGGUGCUCGAGUGGCGAACGGGUGAGUAACACGUGAGUAACCUGCCCUUGACUUUGGGAUAACUUCAGGAAACUGGGGCUAAUACCGGAUAGGAGCUCCUGCUGCAUGGUGGGGGUUGGAAAGUUUCGGCGGUUGGGGAUGGACUCGCGGCUUAUCAGCUUGUUGGUGGGGUAGUGGCUUACCAAGGCUUUGACGGGUAGCCGGCCUGAGAGGGUGAGCGGGAACAGGGGGAGUGGUAUACGGACCGGCGUCCGACGGGAGGCAGCAGUGGGGGAGAUGGCAUAAUGGGCGGAGUCCUGAUGCAGCAACGCAGCGUGGGGGAGGAGGGCCUGCGGGUGGUAAACAGAGAUCGCCUGGGAAGAAGCGUGAGUGAAGGUGAGGGGUAAAGAAGCACCGGCUAAUUACGUG